rnacentral:lncRNA from 1 species
GGAUACUUGGAAACUGUGAUUAUGGUUUGGAUAUGGUUGAAACCCAGGCACCCUUAAUGGCUUGUUUCAUAGACCCUUAGUGGUGUUAAUCUGUGUGCAUAGGACUUGUGGUAGCUACACGAGUAUUGAGGAUUCUGGUAUGCGUAUUGGUGAGCCCAGUCCCCUGAUUAGAAGGCUGGUCCCUAGCCACAUGGUUGUUGAGGAUUCCUCCAUGUGGACGGCACAUCCC